rnacentral:lncRNA from 1 species
UUGCUCUCCGACAACAACUUUAAUUGGUUGUUCGAUUCGGUCCGGAGCAGGAGCAGGAGUUCCUUCCUUCCAUGGAUGACCACGAAGAGCUCUGCGUGCUGUGCUGCUGCUCGGGACCCUCCCUUCUCAUCGCUCGUCCGGGUCCAGGUUAGUCUCUCCGACCCCUGCUUGUCCCCGUCAAAUCGGUGCAUAGCCUCAUUUUAUUCUGCAGUCUGUAUCCUUUCAGCUUGUAUACUUUUAUUCUUAUUGUGGAGAAAUUUGUUUUGUGAUGCAACUAAUGGGGACACACAAAAAACACAUAAUGUCGAUUGCUUUGAGUUAGAAGGUAUAACCAUCUGUCUGCAGUCUCUUCUUAAUACACUCUUCCCUUGGCCAUGCACUGAUGUUUAAGUCUUUCCACUUAUGAGAUUUUAGUUCCAUUUGAAGCUUAGCAUAUUGGAAUACAUUUUCUAGUCCUUUCAGCUGUUGCAUGAAUAAAUGACAAAGUAUUAGCAUCACAAUCGAAGAAUAACAGAAAAUUGUCUUAUCAAAAGAUGGUGCAGUGGGACUAAUAACUAACCAUAGCAGUGAGGUCGUUGCGGUUCAUUCCUGGGCCUACCGAGUCGAGCACCUGGAUACAUCGCUUCCCGGUAUUUAUAAGUGCUAGGUACCAAUGAAACUCUUCAAUGUUAACUGGAACGAAUAUCUAAAAAUACUUUUUUUGUUAGUUUAGGUCCCAUGUAUACAAACAUUUGUCCUCUAUUGAAUUAAUAUGUACGGAACUGAGACUCACCAUAUCAUGUUCCAAAUAAGUUUUAGCUCUCUGUAAUACCCAUUUUGGUGCGUCAUCCCGUAUAGAGCUAAAUUCCUUUAUCAUCUUAGAGAUGCAUGCAUUCUCUAAGAACACACUUCCACCUGACCUCAUCUGUAGAUGUUGCUUAGCACUUAUGCAAUGUAUGUAUGCGUCUAUGAUCUACAAUAUCAAGUGCACACCUUGGUUAGGAGAUAACAGGAACUCAUGUUAAUAACAUCCUCUUAUCAUAAAGCUACAUAUACUUACUUCGUCGCCAACAAAUUCUCCUUCGGUUAAAAGGCGUAGUAAAUGUAAUUUUUUGAGAUAUGAGUCGUUGAUGCUCACUAAAUUUCUUUUAUCGCUUGGUUCAGUCAUGAUAUUUUCAAUCACGGACCAAUCAUCGCCGGUGCAAGCAUAAUCUAUCAUGAUGUAAGUCAAAACAUUUAUUAACAAUGAAGAAAAUAAAUGUAGCAAAAGUAAGGCAUAGAAGGACUUGUACGUGCCUUCUGGAGCCACCACAUAGUCUGGUGCUUUCUUGGGUUUGUUAUGUAAUCGGAUAGGCUUCACUGUUUGUGGCCUUUUCAUGCCGGACGUUUGUGCUAAAUCUUCGUCCUCAUCUGCCACCAUUUGUUCACUUGUUUCAUCAAAGGAUAAUUCCUGAAAGCCACAAUACAAAGAAUAAUUGGUAUGCAGGAUAUAACAUAAUUAGAAUUAGAACUAUUGGGACAUAGUUGAAAAAGAAAAGAUGCCUCUGUCACUUCGGAGACUUCGGAAUCAGUGGACUGCGUGCUCUGCUUUUUCUCCACUUCUUCUGUGUUGGCUAUUACAUUUGAUUCUACCAGAGUGUCCCAUAUAGUUUCCGCCCCUUCGGUGCCCAAUGUUUGUGCUAAUUCCUCAUCCUGAGCUAGCCCCAUUCGUUCACUUGUUUUAUCAAAGGUUAAUUCCUGAGAGCAACAUUACAAAGAAUAUUUUGUAUGCAGGAUAUAAUAUAAUUAGAAUUCAAACUAUUUGAGACAUAGUUGGGCAGAAAAUAUGCGUCUAUCACCUCGGAAUCAGUGCCCCGCGUGCUUUUCUUUUUCUCCACUUCUCCUUUGUCGGCUUUUUCAUUUGAUUCUGCCAGCUUGUCCCCUAUAGUUUCUGCCUCUUCGAUGUUGAAUGUUUGUGCUAAUUUAUCGUCUUGAGGUGACUGCAUUUGUUCACUUGUUUCCUUGAAGUUUAAUUCCUGAGAGCAAAUAUUACAAAGAAUAAUUCCUAUGCAGGAUAUAAUAUAAUUAGAAUUAGAACUAUUUGUGAUAGUUGAAAAGAAAGCAUGCCUUUAUCACUUCGCAAUCAGUGGCCUGCAUGCUAUUAUUUUUCUCUACUUCGUCUUUGUCGUCUAUUCCAUUUGGUUCUUCCUCGCUUACUAACUGAAACACACAAUAAUAUAAUAUUAUGUAGGCAUGAUAUUAUUAUACUAUAAAUUACAUAUUGUUUUGUCCCGGCAGAAUAACAAUAAUAGUGUUAUGUGAAAAUAAGAACCGCCUUUUUCGACUUGGGGUUUCGCAUGCUUGUCUUAGGGUAUGACCUCAUCAAUCUGCAUAUUUUCUGUAUCAUCGAUGAUGGUUUGUUCUUGUAUUGCCUUUGUUGAGUCGGUGUUCAUAUCCUCGUAUUUGGUGGUACGCUCAUUCUUGGCUCCCCCGUCGAUGUUUUCCUGAAAACCGAAGCACAUAUUAUUGUCACGCUGUAAAAAUAAUAGUGACAUGUGAAAAUAAAAACCGCCUUUUUCGACUUGGGGUUUCGCAUGCAAAUAAAAGGGUAUGACCUCAUCAAUCUGCAUAUUUUCUGUAUCAUCGAUGAUGGUUUGUUCUUGUAUUGCCUUUGUUGAGUCGGUGUUCAUAUCCUCGUAUUUGGUGGUAUGCUCAUUCUUGGCUCCCCCGUCGAUGUUUUCCUGAAUACCGAAGCACAUAUUAUUGUCACGCUGUUAACAUUAGGCCCCUAAGUUCUGUUACCUUGAAAAACAAUCUUAUAUGUUGGGACGGAGUGAAUACAUCACAACUGGGUGCACAUAUUUUGACAUGUUUACUUUAACUUAGUGGCAUCAGGACAUUCUUUCCAACAAAAUUUCAGUAUCUGUUUCUUUCUCUAAUUGUUCAUUCAAUCAACUUUUUGAUAUUCACUUGCGUGAAUAUUCUCUCAAGUAAUCAGGUGGAUGUUGCCCAAAGAAUUUCUACAGUCACACAAAGCAUCUUGGCAAUUUUGUGGGGUCACACAGGGCAUGUUGAUUCACUUUGUUGGAUCCCCUCUAGUGACUAUGUUGCCUUGUAGAUGUGAAAUCGUGAAUAGGAUGUAAUUACAGAGAGAUAUCAUUACCGUGAUGAUAGCAGAUUGAUCCGCACAGGCCACCGGGGAUUGUGACCCAGACAUGAAGGACGAUGGUGGUUCACCACGGACAGAUGCUGGAGAGACUUGCGGUGUAGGAGGCCGGCGCGGUGGAGGGGUGUGAGAUGCGGCAGUCCUUUGUGAGAGAUGAUGAAGGAGAGGUGGAAGGAAACCCUACGAUGCAAAACCCAUUGCUUCUUUCUGCUCCUGAUCGAGAGAUAUAUUGUUGUAGGCAAUAUGGAAGGUGGAAAUCACGGGAAAUAUACUUCCAUAGCGUGAGGAUUGGGAUAUGGAAGGUGGAAAUCAUGGGAAGUAUACUUCCAUAGCGUGAGGAUUGGGAAUCGUGAGCGUUAUCUCAGGACCCACACUUUCCUUUAAUUUAUCUUAGGCCCAAUGCUUUUCCUUUUUUGCUUUGAUUUAUCUCAGGCCCAAUGCUUUUCUUUUUCUUUUUUUAUUCACCACGCAUACAGAAUUAAUGGAGUUAUUUUCGUAAUACAUUUUAAUACAAAAAUAUUGGUUUCAGCUCAUCGGAACGUAUCUUUGAUUUUGUGUGUGUUUUCUCUUACCUUUUUAUAUACAGAUACAGAAGGUUUAGUUCAGUGGCUGUGCUGGACAGGAGGGGCCAGGGAAUUGCUUUAAGUUGUUCCAAGAGAUGUGAGCCUGAUAAAACGAUGACAUAGCAGAUUUCCACUGUGGUGAGUUUCGUACUUAAGUUUUAUAUUAUAUUAUUGUUGAUCACGUGUAAAAUAAAAUUUUGCAAUGAGAAGAUACAUGCUAGUUAUUUCAACCAACUUAAAUUUUUCUGGUAAAACAAACUUUUGUCCUGGACGUAUGUUCAAUAUAGUAGUAAUAAUGCUUGACAUUAUCAAGAAGCAAGUCGUGUACAAUAUAUUAUUAACAGCAAUGAUGUGUGUUCUUCAGAAUUAUAUGCAUAAACAGUUGCAUACCCAAACCAGUUACAUUAAAACAUAACCCAUUCGGUUAAUUAUCAGAACAUGGAAAUCUGAUGGCCCAAAAGUGGAGCACAAUCUUUAUUGCGUGCAUAGUACUCUCUGUUCCUCUGCCUCUUCAAUUCUUUGGGGUCUGCAUAAGUAGAUACCGCAAGUUAGGAUAUAAGUACAUACCGCAAGUUAGGAUAUAAGCACCAACAAAUACAGUAUGACAUUUUUAGGAAUGGGGUGCAUCGGUUGUUACUUAGAUCCUGAAAUGGGGUGCACACUCCCGCACUCUUGGGAGAUGACAUACCCUUGGCCUACAUAUGAAUAUUGCUAUCAUAAAAAAUUGGGAAGUUGAUAAUGUGCUUCAUCAAAGCCGUAUUUACAUUAUUAAUAGGAAGUUGUAAUGACAGGUCUCCUUGCAGGACCACUCUCAGUGGUUGGCCCUCCUGUUCACUUACACAAAAACAGAAGGCAGAAGAUGAUAUUGGCCCUGCUGUUGAGCCGCAAACAUAGAAUGUUGCUUUGGCAGGUACAGAAAUUGUGAUUUAUUGGUGCGGAAAUUAACUUCUAUUCUUUAUCCUGACGUAUCUACUUGGGACAAUGAAGCUAUAUUUUUUAUCCCCACUGCUAGAUGUAAUCUAAAAUAUGAAUUGCUAUUUUAGUUCACGCCAAGUAUAGGACAUAGGAUGCAUGUGUCAGUUAGGCUGGAAAUCGCUACAGAUGUGUAGUAUUGUGUUGUGCACAUGUGUAUAUUUUAGAACUAUAUAUUCUGAAAAUUACAAUUCUGAGUAUUGCUGCAACAGGUCAAUAAACAUUAGCUACAGAUGUGUAGUAUUGUGAUGUGCACAUGUUUAUAUUUUAGAAUUAUAUAUUCUGAAAAUUACAAUUCCGAGUAUUGAUUCAACAGGUCAAAGGAAGAAGCAGGUCGAAGGAAGAAGUUUAGACUAAAGACAUGGUUUGUUCUCUCCUAACCUCUCCCUCUAAGGGGAUAAGAGCGGCUAUAGUUUGUCCCCUCCCUUUGUCCUCAAGAUAGUCUCACCAAGUUUACAAACACCUUAAUUUCUUACCAACGCAUACAAUUCCAUUUAAAAUAAAAUCAGGCAACCAAGUAUGCAGAUGGUUAUGACUUCAUCAGAAAGUAAGUAGGCAUCACAUGCACUUGCAACCUGUUUUUUACAGUUGUCAAUUGAUCAAGUGUCUUGGAGCUUAAUUAUCUAGAAUGGACAGUCAAGGUAAUGGCCCUGAGGGUAUGGUGCGAACAUAUUGGCACAUAUGUUAAUGAAGUAAGUAAAAGAAUAAUGUUCAUAUGGAUUACAUUUACAAAUAACUUCGAAACCACAACUCUAAAAUAUGAAUGGCUAUUUUAGUUCACACCAGGUCUAGGACAUAGGAUGCAUGUAUCAGUUAGGCUGGAAAUCGAUACAGAUGUGUAGUAUUGUGAUGUGCACACGUGUAUAUUUUAGAACUAUAUAUUAUGAAAAUAACAAUUUGGAGUAUUGAUGCAACAGGUCAAAGGAAGAAGCAGGUCAAAGGAAGAAGUUUAGACUAAAUUGGAGAGAAGAAUUUUACAGCUGCGUGUAUCCGGCUGGCUGCGACGGGCAGGGCGGGCUGUACCAGUGGGGAUCUCCCGUAGGGAUGCCACGCUGCGAGGGCAGGAUCCUGGGCGUUCCCUGGCGUUGCUGCCAUGGCGACCUUGCUGGAAGUUCUGUGGCGUCGCUGCCCUGGCGACCUCGGGAAGGAAGCGACGCUGCUCGCGGACGGUCUCCACGUUGGUCGGCAACAAUGGCGAUGACGUUGGCGAUGGUGCGACGGUGCGAUGUCGAAUUAAUUUUGUUUCCUUAUUUUACCAGGAGAUCAGCGUGGUGUGAUGACGAAUUAAUGUUGUUUCCUUAUUUACCUGGAGUACAGCGUGAUUGUAGGGGGUGGAUGGGGGGUGCUGGAGGUGGAGCACGGUCAGUCAAGGGUAUUUCCUAAGUCCACACCGUACAGGCAGCAAAUGAAUGAUGGCUGUUAGAUUUAGAUGUGCGGGUAUAAUUGUGUGGUGUUGAUUGUUCCGUGCGUUUUGUGGGACAAGUUGCCGGGUGUACUUAGCGAAGUUCUUGUUUGCUUGUUUAUUAGUAGUAGAGAAGAUGGAUGGAUGGAUGGCCGGAUGGAUGGCCGGAUGGAUGGCCGGAUGGAUGGAUAGACUAUAUUGACUAGAUAGACCGAUAGACAGAUAGAGAGACUACAUAGACUAAAUAGAUAGAUUAAUCCCCUCAAAAAAAAAGAUAGAUUAACUGUGUGACUCAUCGGUUUUGCAAAAUUAAGUUUUGCCACAAUAGUUUUU